UACGGGGGGGGCAAGCGUUGUUCGGAAUUACUGGGCGUAAAGGGCUCGUAGGCGGCCAACUAAGUCGGAUGUGAAAUCCCCAGGCUUAACCUGGGAACUGCAUCCGAUACUGGAUGGCUUGAAUCCGGGAGAGGGAUGCAGAAUUCCAGGUGUAGCGGUGAAAUGCGUAGAUAUCUGGGGGAACACCGGUGGCGAAGGCGGCAUCCUGGACCGAAACUGACGCUGAGGAGCGAAAGCCAGGGGAGCAAACGGG
rnacentral:rRNA from 1 species